rnacentral:rRNA from 1 species
AGGGAUGUUCCAAUGUUAUAAGGAUAGACAUUGGAAAUGUUAACCGAGUCAUAAUCAGGUUUAGGCCUGGUAUCCUAUUAUUAUUUACCAAAUGAAUUCAGAAUUAAUAUUGUAACAUAGACCUAAAAAAUCUAUAAAACAACUUUUAACAACGGAUCUCUUGGUUCUCGCAUCGAUGAAGAACGUAGCAAAGUGCGAUAACUAGUGUGAAUUGCAUAUUCAGUGAAUCAUCGAGUCUUUGAACGCAACUUGCGCUCAUUGGUAUUCCAAUGAGCACGCCUGUUUCAGUAUCAAAAC